GAUGAACGCUGGCGGCGUGCCUAAUACAUGCAAGUCGAGCGAACGGACGAGAAGCUUGCUUCUCUGAUGUUAGCGGCGGACGGGUGAGUAACACGUGGAUAACCUACCUAUAAGACUGGGAUAACUUCGGGAAACCGGAGCUAAUACCGGAUAAUAUUUUGAACCGCAUGGUUCAAAAGUGAAAGACGGUCUUGCUGUCACUUAUAGAUGGAUCCGCGCGGCAUUAGCUAGUUGGUAAGGUAACGGCUUACCAAGGCAACGAUGCAUAGCCGACCUGAGAGGGUGAUCGGCCACACUGGAACUGAGACACGGUCCAGACUCCUACGGGAGGCAGCAGUAGGGAAUCUUCCGCAAUGGGCGAAAGCCUGACGGAGCAACGCCGCGUGAGUGAUGAAGGUCUUCGGAUCGUAAAACUCUGUUAUUAGGGAAGAACAAAUGUGUAAGUAACUGUGCACUUCUUGACGGUACCUAAUCAGAAAGCCACGGCUAACUACGUG
rnacentral:rRNA from 1 species